UAUAUCCCGGUUUAGGCAGAUGUAGGCGACAGGUAGGCAAAUCCGCCUGUCAUAUACCGAGGCUGCCGAUCGAGCGAGCUUGCUCGCGAAGUGAUUGAACGAGGUUCCAGGAAAAGCCACUAAGCUUCAGCUACACACGACCGUACCGCAAACCGACACUGGUGCGCGAGAUGAGUAUUCUAAGGCGCUUGAGAGAACUCGGGAGAAGGAACUCGGCAAAUUGACACCGUAACUUCGGAAGAAGGUGUGCCCUAGUAGUGUGAAGUGAACAACGGAGCAUGAAUGGGUUGCAAAAAUCGGUGGCUGCGACUGUUUAUUAAAAACACAGCACUCUGCAAACACGAAAGUGGACGUAUAGGGUGUGACGCCUGCCCGGUGCUGGAAGAUUAAAUGAUGGGGUGCAAGCUCUUGAUUGAAGUCCCAGUAAACGGCGGCCGUAACAAUAACGGUCCUAAGGUAGCGAAAUUCCUUGUCGGGUAAGUUCCGACCUGCACGAAUGGCGUAACGAUGGCCACACUGUCUCCUCCCGAGACUCAGCGAAGUUGAAAUGUUUGUGAUGAUGCAAUCUCCCCGCGGAAAGACGGAAAGACCCCAUGAACCUUUACUGUAGCUUUGUAUUGGACUUUGAACAGAUCUGUGUAGGAUAGGUGGGAGGCUUUGAAGCAGGGUCGCUAGAUCUUGUGGAGCCAACGUUGAAAUACCACCCUGGUGUGUUUGAGGUUCUAACCUAGGUCCAUUAUCUGGAUCGGGGACAGUGCAUGGUAGGCAGUUUGACUGGGGCGGUCUCCUCCCAAAGCGUAACGGAGGAGUUCGAAGGUACGCUAGUUACGGUCGGACGUCGUGACGAUAGUGCAAUGGCAUAAGCGUGCUUAACUGCGAGACUGACAAGUCGAGCAGAUGCGAAAGCAGGACAUAGUGAUCCGGUGGUUCUGUAUGGAAGGGCCAUCGCUCAACGGAUAAAAGGUACUCUGGGGAUAACAGGCUGAUACCGCCCAAGAGUUCAUAUCGACGGCGGUGUUUGGCACCUCGAUGUCGGCUCAUCUCAUCCUGGGGCUGUAGCCGGUCCCAAGGGUAUGGCUGUUCGCCAUUUAAAGAGGUACGUGAGCUGGGUUUAAAACGUCGUGAGACAGUUUGGUCCCUAUCUUCCGUGGGCGCUGCAGAUUUGAGGAAGCCUGCUCCUAGUACGAGAGGACCGGAGUGGACGCACCUCUGGUGUAUCGGUUGUCACGCCAGUGGCAUUGCCGAGUAGCUACGUGCGGAAGAGAUAACCGCUGAAAGCAUCUAAGCGGGAAACUCGUUCCAAGAUGAGAUCUGCCGGGGCCUUGAGCCCCCUAAAGAGUCGUUCAAGACCAGGACGUUGAUAGGUCAGGUGUGGAAGCGCAGUAAUGCGUUAAGCUAACUGAUACUAAUUGCUCGUGCGGCUUGACCCC
rnacentral:rRNA from 1 species